AACUGGAUUAGUACCCAGGUAAUCAAAAUUAAUUAAUUCGGGAGUAAAGUUUUGUUUAAACCGAAAAAAUAUUGACUGACUCUGGAUUUCUUUUUGGAAUAUGUGUAUGGAGAGCCCUCUUUAAUAGUAAAUCUUUUUUUGCACAUGUAUGAUUGUUUAGUUUUUAUUUUGUUUUGUAAUGCUUUCCUUUUGGACUUAAAACAGAUAUAUACUUGGCUUAUGGGUUUAUUAAUC
rnacentral:rRNA from 1 species